AUGGCCAGUGGGAGAUGUCAUGUUCUCUUUUGCUGGUCAAGGAGAUUUGAAUUUGGCUCACCUGAAAAUUGGCCAAUCACAGGCAGGCCUGGAGGCAGGGCAGAGCUAACUCCAACUCAGGCUGGAGUCUUCACUCAGGCUAUUCCUAAUGAAUCUGUCUUGCAGUGCAAAGGCAUAAAAACCGUGAACAAAGAAGCAGAUAGGCUCCUAUCUUAACAAUGGGCAGCCUGAUCCUGGCCCAGCCUCAUCUACACCAACCGAUGGCAUGGCAAUGGCUUUGCUAAGACCUUUCUGAGACUGUGGAAGUUAGCUUGGGAAAUAUGUUAUUGUAUUCUGUGGUGACAGAUAAUAAUUGUACCUGAAACCCUGUAAUGAUAAGACAAUACAGAUA